UGAGGUGGGGGACAACCCUGGAAAGGGGCUAAUACCGCAUAUGGGCUGAGGCCCAAAGCCGAGAGGGGUUAGGAGCGGCCUGCGUCCGAUUAGCUAGNNGGNGGGGAAGGCCUACCAAGGCUCCGAUCGGNAGCUGGUCUGAGAGGCGAUCAGCCACACUGGGACUGAGACACGGCCCAGACUCCUACGGGAGGCAGCAGUGGGGAAUAUUGGACAAUGGGCGCAAGCCUGAUCCAGCAAUGCCGCGGGGUAAGAAGGCCUUUCGGAUCGAAAGCCCUUCGACAGGGACGAUAAUGACGAACUGUAUAGUGCCCCGGUAAUUC
rnacentral:rRNA from 1 species